AGGGGAGGGGAAGGGGGAGGAGGAGGAAAGAAUAGCCUCAUAGAGUUCUUCGUGUCUUUUUCGUUCUGGGUUUUUCCUCCUGAAGGGCAAUGAAGCCGAAGGAGCUUUCCCAAGAUUCCAGUGAUUUACAGGCUCUUUUCUGUUCAGUGGUUGGCAGGCAGGGCACGGCGCGUCUGGGGCGGGGCAUGCAAAUUUUAAAUGGCUGUUCCUCUCGGGACUUAUGGGAGCAAAAAAGGAAAAUGAAUAUCCUCCGAAAUAGUAACAAUAUUACUUAGGCAAGUUUUAAAAUUUGGAUAAAGAUACACAAUUUCAACGUAGGAGAGAGAGUUAUUGAGGGUGAAAUCUGUCACCCUGAGCUGAGGAUGUGUGGAGAAGGGGUGCAGUGGACGAUAGGUGUUAAUGUUUUACGGCUUGGUUUACCUUUGUUCAGCUGAGCUUGAGAGUUUCUUUAAACCUUUAUUUGGUGAUUAGUGUGUGUUUCAUUAUUUUUAUUUUUUUUUUCUCCCCGCUUUCUACCCGUUAUGAAAGCAAGAUUAUCAGCGUAUUUUCGUGUAGUCCUCAGGAGCGAGAGGUGUUUUUCAACGUGUGAUCUUCACAAAAGCGCCCGUGUCCUAACGAUUAGAUUGGGCCUUCAGCAUCUCAGAAGACCUCGCCGCGUAAGUCGGGUCGUCACGGUCUGUUAGCAUGCUAGUAUUAUAUUUAAGUUCACCACGUGCUCCUUACUUUUACGCGUUUACAUCGGUUCUUUUGGGCCUGUUGGCGCCGCUAUGUUUACAUUGGCCGCCCGUGCUUUACGUUUGCACUUUUACGUCGGAUCAUUGGCGUCUGUUAGCGCCUCUUUUUUACAUUGGCCGUCCGUGCUUUACGUUUGCACGUUUACGUCGGAUCAUUGGCGUCUGUUAGCGCCUCUUUUUUACAUUGGCCGUCCGUGCUUUACGUUUGCACGUUUACGUCGGAUCAUUGGCGUCUAUUAGCGCCGCUGUUUUUACAUUGGCCGCCCGUGCUUUACGUUUGCACGUUUACGUCGGAUCAUUGGCUAUUAGCGCCGUUGUUUUUAAGCUGGCCGCGCGUGCUUCGGAGAGCUUAGUUGCUUUCGGUUUCACUUGGUUGCGGCGUGACGAUCAUUGAGUUAAAGAUUACUGCACUCAUCGGUCUCCAUCAGUCUCCGUAAUCUGACUGCUCUUUGUUAUUACUUGGUUUACUUACAUACAAUAUGCGGAUUGUUCUGUUUAAGUUCAGCGCCCAUACUUCACUAUCCCAAGUGGGACUGCUUUUUCAUUUACGUGUCUCCAUCCAAGGCAGUAUAAACAUUUUUCUAUUCAAGUUUACCGCAUGUGUUUCACUAUCCAGAGUCGGACUGCUUUUCGAUUUACGUGGCUCUGUGGGAUGCGGUAUGAAGAUCGUUGCAUUCAAGUUUGCCGCCUCUACUUAACUGUGCAGGAUCUGACUGUAGUCAGAUCUGUAUGACAGAUGUUACACUCGUUUUCUGCGGGUACGUCGCUAUCCAGUCUAUUUUUUCCAUUAACGUGGCUGAGUCCUAUGUAGUAUGAGUGUCAGAGGCAUUGGAACCCGAAGCGACCCUAUUUUGAGUGAGGGCUAGAAAAAUGAGGCCGGGAUUUACGGGGGUGCAUUCUCUGAAGGAUAUUCCUAGCUGUCAGAUGUUUACGGUUAAGGGAAUAAAUCAAUGUUUACUAAAGAGACCCAAGUGUCCAGAUAGCUGGAUAUCUGGAGAACAAAGGCGUUCCUAAUUUUGCUUGAAAGAUAGUAAUAGGGAUUCUUGCACAAUAUAAUAAUUAAAAUUAAUCCUUUAUCACAAACCCUUGUAGCAGAGCACCUCUCCCUAUGUAUACAAGCAUUGUACCUAGGGUGGAUACGUUCCUUCUCUUAGUUUCGGGAACGUCCUACUCUGUCUUUGGAGUAGCUGUUCUUUCACUUUACUUCCUUAAUAAACUUGCUUUUAUUUUGCACCGCGGACUUGCCCUGACUUAUUUCUUGCGCGAGAUCCAAGAACCCUCUCUUGGGGUCUGGAUCAGGGCCCUGUUCCUGUGACGUAUUUCUGGCGACCACAGAUGGGACUAUAGUGCUUUGGGUAAGUGUUGCGGCCCUAUAACAUAUUUCUGGCGGACGACGGAAGGGAGGAUACUGAAGAAACUCACCCAACCCAAAGGAAGUAGACUGCAGCACUGAUGGGACGACUUUGGGAGAAGGACAACAACCCGUGUGGGUUCCCUCCCAGCAACUGAGAUUGCAUUAUAACUCCAAGGAUGUAGAACUCUCAGAAACAAAAGGCAAAGAACCGUCAGAAAGCAAAGAGCAAGUCUGCAGAUGUCUCCAAAGAGUCCGAGGACAAGUCCAAAAUCAAUGACAAGCAAUGAUGGCAGUGACGAUCCUAGUCAAUAAAAAGGGGGAAGAUGUGGGUGGUAAGCCACCCAGGUGCCGAGGCAAGAGACCGAAGG